rnacentral:pre_miRNA from 1 species
AACAUUCAACGCUGUCGGUGAGUUUUGUUUGAACUCCUCAUAUGAAAAUAAACCAUCGACCGUUGACUGUACC